AUCUAUAAAUAGCAACUCAAUCUCAUAGUUAUAAUUCAAGGCGUAGCAAAUUCAUAAUAUAUACUUGCUCUCUUACAUAACUAAAAAACUCUAUUUCAUCCCCCUUAGCUUCAAUCUCCUAAACAUGUCGAACAAGUGUGGUAGUUGCGAUUGCGCUGAUGUCAGCCAAUGCGUGAAGAAGGAAAACCAGUAUGAUAUCAUCAUCGUAGAUAAGAGCGAUACGGUGGUGAUGAUGGAUGUUGGAGCUGAAGAACAUGAUGGAAAAUGCAAAUGUGGCAGUAGCUGUGCCUGUGUGAACUGCACUUGUGCUCAUUAAGAAUGUCAAGAACAAUUUAUCUAAAACUAUAUGAGUGAUAUGUGUUUAAAUAAAAUAACAAUAUUACUUUGUUAUCUAUGGUGAAAUAAGAGUUCCUUGUGCUAAACACAAAAUGUAAAGGAGUAAGUACUCUACUUAGUGUCUUGUCUCUUUGGUCAAGUUUGUAGCACAAGUUUUCAUUGUUAAAUAGACUCUGCUACUACUACUUUACUUA